GGUGGUUGUUAAGCAGAAAUUGUCCAGUCAGUAAUUAGACAAGCCCAGCCUCUUCUUUCAAAAAGAUUCUGGCCAAAUUCUGGAGGUACUCUUUGCAGAUGUCCAACUUGGCCCACCUGAAGCCCUGUGCAAAAAUUUGUUCAAUGAAAGAAGAUAACGUGCCAUCUGGUAUUCUUCUCUGUCGACAUUGUUGCCCAACUGGUGGACAGCAAAGAGGCAGGCUGAGAGAGAGAGGAAGAAGCAGGCUCCCUGCCGAGCAAAGAGCCCGAUGCGGGGCUCGAUCCCAGGAUUCCGG